rnacentral:lncRNA from 1 species
GGGGAUACGGACUGCUUCAUUACAUCGAAGAAAAUUUCGUUCCAGCAAACGAAAUUAUGAUCCAACAGGACCAACUCCUGCUUGGAUGGAUUUUUUUCAUCUCUGUCUACGGAGAUUUUAUCUCAAGUGGCCAGCUAUGAAUCUUCCACGAAGGGUCUGGUCAGUUCUGCAAGAAAUCUUCGCCUCCACACCAGGGGUUCGCAUUUUGCAACUGCGAAAUGAGCUUCAAAGUUUGUGCAAAGGAGAUACAUCGGUCUCCGACUAUCUGGGCAAGG